rnacentral:rRNA from 1 species
GCCUGCAUGAAGUUGGAAUUGCUAGUAAUCGCGGAUCAGCAUGCCGCGGUGAAUACGUUCCCGGGGAUUGUACACACCGCCCGUCACACCAUGAGAGUCGGGAACACCCAAAGUCCGUAGUCUAACCGCAAGGAGGACGCGGCCUAAGGUGGGUUCGAUAAUUGGGGUGAAGUCGUAACAAGGUAAC